GGGGAAAUUCAAUACCGUCUUGACGGUGUGCACUUUUCUCCCAGUAAGACGCUGUGAUCCAUUAGAAAUCGGACCAUUCCAAUGGUUAGUGGGCUAUCAAAAGGCCGACAUGAAGUUCAGUGGUGUCGAUGGCAUGAUCAUAUACGGUUAUGUGUACGGCCCGCUGAGCAUGUUGAUACCUGAAAUAGCUGUCUGAUGGAUUUUAAAGGUCAUAUUACUGAUACUUUCGAGUAUCACCCAUUACGAUGGGAGUGGAUAUGUACCCGAUCAACAGCGGUUAAAUUUGUGAUACCUUUGGGACCCGUCUUGAAACACGGACCAAGGAGUCUAUCUAGUAUGCAAGUAAAUGGGUAUAUGAAACCUAUUUGCAUAAAAAACUUGACUUUCAAUGGGAUUACGAGUCGUUUUUAAAGACGGCUCCUCCAUCCCGGGGUAUUUUCAUCAACAUAUGCAGCAAUGUAUAUGGAAAAUAUACCAUGAGCGUACUGGAUAUGACCCGAAAGAUGGUGAACUAUGCCUGAUCAGGUUGAAGUCAGGGGAAACCCUGAUGGAGGACCGUAGUUGUUCUGACGUGCAAAUCGAUUACGCGAGUUGGGCAUAGG
rnacentral:rRNA from 1 species